AGAAACAACAAUAAAGGAAAUAAGAUAGCUCUACUACACACAAGUUUUUAAUUGUUUUUAAAAAGGUAACAAAAUGUAGGUACAAAACUUCAGAAAAUAUCACAAUAUAUGACUAGGUGCUAUAUAUAUUGAGAUGGUUACAAUUCAGUAAAAAUCUAAAAAUACUACAAGCAAAAUAACACAAAUCAUGAAUGAAAUAUUCUUAAAGUUAAAAUAUCAAAUACUAACAUGCUAACAUAUGUGAAAAUAAUUGGGGAAAUGGAUACCUCUUUAUUUCUGUUUGGAGGUUAAUCAAUGUGAUGGUCUACAGGUGAAUGUGUUGAUACAAACCGAAAGGCUUUAAAAUCUUCCUGCUUUGUAAGUCAGUAAUUCCACUUUCAAAUAUUUGUUUACACGUAAUAAUCAGAGAUGCCCAUAGAAUGUAUUCAUUGCAUAAUAUCUUAAAAUGGUGACAACUUAAAUAUGCAGCAUUAGGAGAUUAUAAACCUCUAAAUCCAAUAUAAUUUCAAACCUGCUAACAAUGUCAGCAAUUAAUACUGAUGUUCUUCAAAUGGCAGAAAAGCAAAUACUUUUUUCUUUUUUUUUUUUCUUUUCCAUAUUUUACUAACCUACUGUAAACCUAUACUACUUAUACAGUAAGGGAAAUGGUUGUAACUUAUGUUAAACAGAAGUGGUGGAUGACAGACAAGAAACAGUAACUUAGCUUGUACUCAUAGAAUACACAGGAGAGUGGAGGGUUGCAUGGGGACUUGAAUGCCUAACUAGGGAAUUUCUACAUCAUUGAGUAGGCAGUGGGGAACCGUCGAAAAUCUUUGAGCAUGGAAUUCACAGAGUCAUUUUGGCAGUUGUGUACAUGGCUAAGUGCACGACUUUGAAUCUAGUUACGAAGAGGCCAAUUGUGAGAGUUCAGGGACCUUCAGAAUGUAACAUCAGGAAUUUCAAGAUAAUCAGAUACACUUAAUAAGUAGCUCUUAUAUUACAUAUUAAAAGUAAGGCCUUGCUGUCAACUGCCAUAAGAUGCAGCAAUAUUCUAAGCUUUGUAUUCCUUUCUCAGUGAUAUCUUGAAAAGAACAGGCAUGGAGUUCAUGAGAUUCAUAUGAAGAACCAACUGACAGCACCACAUCCACAAUCUGGGUCCUGGAGUUUUAAGCAUAUCGUGUUGCUUUUAGGCUAGAUUUAACUGUGAGGAUAAUAAGAAACGAUCAUCGCACUCUGGAACUCAAAUCUUCUCCCUUGGCUAACACUGCUACAUCUAGUCUGCAGUCACAUAUCGUGUCACUAACACUCUUUCAAGAUGGACACUUCUUGGCCUUGGAGUUUCUGUUUCAUUCAUUCCGUAUUUUAUGUCUCUUUUUCAUAGUUGGAUCACGAACUGAUUGGGAAAAAAGAUGAUGUAAAAUUGCCUAUACUUUUUGGCUAAAGAACAAAAAUAUAGAGGAUUGUAAUAUUUUUGUUCUAAGAAUAAAAUCAGAUAACAUGAAAAGCUUUUCUUACUCUGUCUGUAAUUUAGUAAACUAAAAUAAUGCUAUGAAGCAAAGAAACUCUCAACUUUAGAAAUAAAAACAUAAGGAUCAGAACAUUUUAUGUUAGCCCAUAAAACACCAUAUUCUUUGGCUACUGGUUUUGAGACUCACACUCUAGAUUACUGGAAAAGAAGCGGUUAUUGAUAGGGAAGUCCUGAAAUAAAUUAUCUGGGUACCCAGAGAUGAAGUGAGCAUAUGUAUUAACUAUUAUAAAACUUGCCUAUUUGUGAAAUAAAUUUAUACUUUUUUUCUUUAUUCAAUUUAGGAAAAAGACAUGAUGUUUAUGAGUGAGAGGAGAAAUGAUGCAGCAUCUUUUUAAAACUGUUAUGAAACACUUUCGUGUGUGUGUGUGUUUUUGACUAAGCUGCUUUUCACUUUCUUCUUGGCCAUUAAAUUUAUACAUGUCUGAAGAAUAAUAUUUAGUAAAUUCCAAAGCUUAAAUUUUGAUAAUUGCUUAAAUGUGUAAUACAAUAAUAGGCAAAGAUCAAUGUAUUUAAAUAUAGCAGAUACAUAAUAUUUAAUGAUCUACAUAAGUAAAGCUAGUAAUCUCAAGAAUACAUAUAUGUUUUUAUACAUUAUAGGAUAGAGAAAUAUAUCUAAGAAAUAUACAUAUGUUUAUAAUUCUAUAUCUAUAUAUUAGUUUAUAGUGUAGGAAAGAAAUUUUGAAGGGACUCUGAGUCAGCUAGAAAUUUGGUCAAUACUCACAUGGCCGGCCACUAAGUUGAGGAUACCCAUUGAAUGGGUCAUCCAACUUUUCAAAUCUAUUCAUUAGUAAAAUAAAAAUACUGAUGUUAGAAUUAAGGGACAUUAAAUAAAUAAAGUGUCUCCCAUGUAAAAGGGAGUCAAAAAAGGUAUCCUUGCUUAUUUCAGAGUGAUUGUGAGGAUUAAAUUGGAUAACUUUAAAACUCUUGGGGCUCUGCUCUAUCUAUGUUUGCUAUUUACCAAUUUAUUCAUUUAUCCAUCCUAGGCAUUUUAAGUACUUACUAUGUGCUAGAUAUAUGUAACUAUUCCAUGUUAAAAGAGUUAAGUGUUCCAUAUAAAAUUCAAGAUAAAUGUAAGAUAUUCAAUGUUAUCUUAAGCUUAACUAUAUUUCUGGACUUGUUCUGUAUUUAAUGUAGCAAAGGAUUAUAUCAUCUUUAAUUGAAAAGCAGCAGGUUAAUCAUCAGUUGUGAUUUCAUAUUUCAUGGUGAAACUUAAUUUGGCCCUACCACAAUUCUAAUUUUAAUAUGGUAUUGAUGACAGCAGCAGCAGCCCAUCUGGAGCAGCCACUGUGAAUAUGCUGGCUGCAGCGGAGGAGGUGAGGCCAGGGUUUUGCACUCCACGGAGCUGAUGGGAACUGGGAACAGGCAGGAGACCGCCCUCCCAGGCACAGCUGCAGCCACCCAGCCAUGGCUGCUGAUUGGGCAUCCCUGUGCUCCUGGGCCUGAGAAAUCCCUCUGCCUCUGUAGGCUCAGAAGUGCCUGCUCCCACUGCCCGGCCUCCCCCUGGCCUCUCCCUGCUCCUGGCCUCUUCUCCAAUUUUGGAACAAAAUUGAGGCUGAGCUCCGGAGCUGUUGCAAACCAGCCCUGUGUGUGGGCACUCACAAUGGUGUUAACAUGCCAGCACACUGCGGCCUUGGCCCCCUGUGGAAUUUGGGUGUCAAGGAGCAUGGGAGGGAGGCCGAGGUGGGGCUGAGGAUGUCUGCAUGUGGUCUGCAGGUGCUCCUUGGCAUGAACAGCCGGGUCACCAUGGACAUGAUUGAUGGUGGCAGACAGGCUCCUUGGUGGAAAGGGGCGGAUCCCCAGUGAAGCUGCUCCUUCAAGCCCAUGUCAGCCUGAAGCAAGGGGCUGGGCUGUCACUUCCAGGUGGAGUAGGCGGCCCCAAGUGAGAUCUUAUGGUGCUUUUUAUGGGCCUGCCCAUGGCCACCCAUGGGCCAAUCAACAUGCAUAUCCUCUCUUCUAAAGUCCAUAAAAACCCAGAAUUCAGCCAGAGUCACAGAGAUAUUGGGACAACCUCCCUGCAAAUAGGAGCUACCACUCUGGGCCUCCUCUCCACUGAGGGGGCUAUGGACAUCAGAACGAUCUGCCUGUGGAAAGGCACUACUCCCUGCAAGUCUCCUCUCUGCUGACAGCUGGACACUCACUGGAAGGACCUGCCUGCAGAAAGGAGCUACCCACUUUGGGUCUCCUGAGAGCUGUUCUGUUGCUCAGAGAAGCUCCUCUCCACCUUGCUCACCCUCCAGUAGUCCACAUACCUCAUUCUUCCUGGACAUGAGACAGAACUCAGGACCUGAACUGAGACCUGCCAAGUGGCGGGACUGAAAGAGCUGUAAUACAAACAGGGCUGAAAUGCCCCCAUGAUCACCAUGUUGCAGGCAACAAGAAGGAGAGAAGAGAUACAGCCCUUGGAGAGGCCUAUAUCUAGGGGCUCCCCAAGCCAGGGCUGUGACACCCUCUUAGGGGCUCUGUGGUUCCUGGUGUUUCCAAGCUUCUGGGUGCAUUCCCCUUGUCCAGACAUGGGUGGCCACAGUGGAAGCUUCAUGCAGUACAUCUGCUCCAGUGACAGCCUUGCACAGAGCCAGCACCUGUGCCAGCACCUGGAGCUGCUGUCCUGCCACAGCAGCCAGAAUGCCUGGCUAUGCACAGUGACCAGACCCUGUGCUCACUUGCCCACACACCCCUCACUGCUCCACGCCUGGCUCACCCUUGGCAGCUAUGGAAUCUGGACUGGUAGCACAAGCCAAGCACAGCCUGCCAGGCCGAGCGAAUGGAACAAGCCCAGCAGGCAUAAGCAAUACUUAGGCAGAAGGUGUGGUCUGCCACAGAGGUUUCUGGCUGGCAAAUUGAUAUGCCAAGGAUCCCAUGCCAGUAUAGUAUGGGUAAUGCAGUCCAGAUUCAGGAUAUUUAUCUUUUAAGAAUAAUUAAGAUAGCUAAAUGGUGCGUGCAGAUUGUUUGCUAGUACCUGAUAACAUAGUGAUACAGAACUGAAGACUAUGCAUAUACUAAAUAACGUAAAAUGUGUUAAAUUGUGACAGUUAAUGGGAAUGAGGUAGAUACAUUCAAAAAUUCAUGACAAAGCAAUAAACAACUUGUUUGAUCCAUUUCAAGGUAGAAAAUAGCAUCUAAGGUCAAUAAUAAUAUCAGUGUUUAGAGGAAAAACUAAUUUCCAUUUGUAUCAUUAGUAUUGCAUGGCAUAUAGCCUGAUCCAAAUACUUAUUACAGUAAUAAAGAUUAAUCCACAAAAAUAUAGCAGAGACUAAUUAAAUUCACACACAUGAAUGUAAAAAUCACCAUUUUUAAUCAAAUAAUUCUACAAUUUUAAUUACAGUGGGUACUACAUUUAAUAACUAGGGUGAGGGUAAGUUGAACAUUUUAAUAAAUUUUAAUAAGCAUACAUUAAUUAUACUGCAAUGAAUGCAUAUUUGAGGGAAUAUGCAGUUUUCCAUUUUAAUAAUGUUAGAAUGACAUUGUAAUAUGGACCCAUAGAGCAACAACUAUUGAUUAGGCCACCAAAAUAUUUAAGCAUGAUUUUAACAGUUUGGCUCAAUACCCUGAUUACCAUGUCAUAUUCAGUCAAUUUUGGUCAAAAUCAUGUGGACUACUUGAAGUGAUAUAAGUAGUCUCAACACAGUAUCUGGAAAACAGAUGUGUAAACUAAAAUAUAAAUGUACAUAUUUUAUAAAUUGUCUUUCAGUGACACCUAACCCACUUUAGACACUCACAAAUUUGAAAUUUUUAAAGAGGUAAUGGAGAUUACUCAUGUAUCAUAAGGAAAAAAGAAAAGGUGAUCUUUAGCUUGUUGAAACUGGGUUCUCCACCUUUGCCACUUUUUCACCUUCCUCUACCCUUCCUCACCCUCUCCCUACUUUAUGUUCAGACCCUAACAUUGUUUUUACCAGUUAGGAUCUUGAUUUAUUUUGAAAUUCUAGUGUGCCAAUGAGUAUGAAAAUGAUUAAAUUCAUUUCCCUAAGUCAGUCAAUAAUGUAGCCUAAUCACGUAGUUUGGCAUAUUUCAUUCUUUAAAUGCAUCUGUCUUCAAUUGGUUUGCUUAUAGAAUCAGUCCAGAUCCAAACAUCUUUCCUAUUCAUAAGCACAAAUAAACCCUCACUUACGAUUUUUAAAAAGGUUUCUCUAAAAUUGUGUUUAAUGCUUCCUAACCUGUAAUCAAUAUUUAUGCUAACUAUUUGAAUGAAAAUCUCUAUAAAAGUUUAGUAUUUAGCAUUAUAAUGACAUGAGAAUUAUUUCAAAAACGUUAUCUCCAGUAAGACUAAAUUGAUUUUCAAGCUAUUUUUGAAAUAGUAAAAUAUUUUAUUUUCAAUCAAAAUAUUUCUUUGGGUUAAUUUUUAAAAGCUGGGUCAAAUAUUUGUUAUAUUUAUUCUCUUUUUAAUUUUAGGACAAGCUAUUUUUCAUCUUGAAGCUUUGUUUAUUUUUUAAUUUAUGAGAUGAAAAAUCACAACAUAUAUGAUGAAUCUCUGGGCAAAGGAUAAUAUGCCUCUUGAAGUGCAUUAUAUAAUAUUGUUAUUUUUAACCAUAACAAGUGACCACUUACUAUGUACAUAACACUUACUUUGUGUACUAAAUUUCUGUAAUAUUUUAGAGAAAUACAUGGAUUCUUGGUUUCAAGGGCUUGAUAAUUUGAUUGCGGAGCCUUUGCACAUGCAAAUGGAAUAAUUUAAUAAUCAAUAGACUAACAAAGCAACAUCUAAGCAAGCUUACAUUUUUU